UACGGAGGGGGCUAGCGUUGUCCGAAGUUACUGGGCGUAAAGCGCGCGUAGGCGGGUUGGUAAGUCCGCUGUGAAAGCCCGGAGCUUAACUCCGGAGGGUCGGUGGAUACUGCCAGUCUUGAAGGUGCUAGGGGGAGAUGGAAUUACCGGUGUAGCGGUGAAAUGCGUAGAGAUCAUGAGGAAGACCAGUGGCGAAGGCGGGUCUCUGGACAGUUCCUGACACUGAGGCACGAAGGCCAGGGGAGCAAACGGG
rnacentral:rRNA from 1 species